GAUGAACGCUGGCGGCGUGCCUAAUACAUGCAAGUCGAGCGAACAGACGAGGAGCUUGCUCCUCUGACGUUAGCGGCGGACGGGUGAGUAACACGUGGAUAACCUACCUAUAAGGCUGGGAUAACUUCGGGAAACCGGAGCUAAUACCGGAUAAUAUAUUGAACCGCAUGGUUCAAUAGUGAAAGACGGUUUUGCUGUCACUUAUAGAUGGAUCCGCGCCGCAUUAGCUAGUUGGUAAGGUAACGGCUUACCACGGCAACGAUGCGUAGCCGACCUGAGAGGGUGAUCGGCCACACUGGAACUGAGACACGGUCCAGACUCCUACGGGAGGCAGCAGUAGGGAAUCUUCCGCAAUGGGCGAAAGCCUGACGGAGCAACGCCGCGUGAGUGAUGAAGGUCUUCGGAUCGUAAAACUCUGUUAUUAGGGAAGAACAAAUGUGUAAGUAACUAUGCACGUCUUGACGGUACCUAAUCAGAAAGCCACGGCUAACUACGUG
rnacentral:rRNA from 1 species